GUUGGGGGCAUUAGUACUUAACUGUCAGUAAGGUGGAAUUCUCAGAUUUGUUAAAGACUGACUUAUGCGAAAGCAUUUGCCAAGGAUGUUUUCAUUAAUCAAGAACGAAAGU
rnacentral:rRNA from 1 species